rnacentral:ncRNA from 2 species
UACCUUAGCUAGGGGAGCCUUGAGGCUGAGAGUCCGAGCAGUCGGACGACCCUCACAACCUGACCUGGGUAAUACCAGCGUAGGGAAGCCGGACACCAACGGA